rnacentral:rRNA from 1 species
UAAGCACUCCGCCUGGGGAGUGCGUCCGCAAGGUUGAAACUCAAAGGAAUUGACGGGGAGCCGCACAAGCGGUGGAGCAUGUGGUUUAAUUAGAAGCAACGCGAAGAACCUUACCAAAUCUUGACAUCCUUUGAAAACUUUAGAGAUAGAGCCUUCCCCUUCGGGGGACAAAGUGACAGGUGGUGCAUGGUUGUCGUCAGCUCGUGUCGUGAGAUGUUGGGUUAAGUCCCGCAACGAGCGCAACCCUUAAGCUUAGUUGCCAUCAUUAAGUUGGGCACUCUAGGUUGACUGCCGGUGACAAACCGGAGGAAGGUGGGGAUGACGUCAAAUCAUCAUGCCCCUUAUGAUUUGGGGUACACACGUGCUACAAUGGACAAUACAAAGGGCAGCUAAACCGCGAGGUCAUGCAAAUCCCAUAAAGUUGUUUUCAGUUCGGAUUGUAGUUUGCAACUCGACUACAUGAAGCUGGAAUCGCUAGUAAUCGUAGAUCAGCAUGCUACGGUGAAUACGUUCCCGGGUCUUGUACACACCGCCCGUCACACCACGAGAGUUUGUAACACCCGA